GGUAGGAAUUGAACACAAGUAGCAGAAGGUUUUCAAUAACUCACACUACUGAACCAAUUGAGUAUAAAGUUGUUUUUCUAAUGGGCAGUAGUGUUACAUUUAUUUGCAAUGCUCACAACUUCAAUGCCACCUCCCAACUCAGGAAGAAAUCAAAUACAAUUCCAAGGUCUAAGAAUGUAUGUUUAGAAGCAUUUACAUUUCACAACUCCCUUUGCUUCAAUCUUUCUCUGAGGUGUAUUAGUUUUCCCUGGACCUGUUUAGGUAACUCAUCAUCUGAUGAUAACCUAAUUUCAAUCCCUUCUACUUGUUCUCUCUGUAUAAUAUCAUGGUACAUUGGUAGAAACCCUCUUUGGAAAGACCUAUAGGAGAAAUAGGGUAGCAGCACACACAAGAACAAAAGGGUUACUAGCCAAUAUAGACCACUGGGAGCACAUGCUUCCACUGGGAGCACAUGCUUCCACUGGGAGCACAUGUAUCCAGAUUUGGUUGGAAUUUAAUUUCAUCAGAACAAUGAAAUAAUUUUGCACGAAAAUAAGAAUAAAAUAAAAGUAAUUGAUUCAUGAAAAACUUAGUUGAGCCUUCUUUAAUAAAUAUCAUCACAUCAGUUUAAAUAUAACAUGUGCUACUCUCACUACAAAAAAAAAAAUUUAGUGGGGUUAUUUUUUUCCUUUCCGACGGUUUUAACCCCCGUAAAUUGCAUUACUCGCAGUUUACUAUGUCCCUAGAAUAUCCAGCGUCGAUAAUGAAUUAUUGACGAUUUUUACGAAUCCUGAAAAAUAAUUACUUUCUGGUGGUUUUGAAACUCCGUUAUUUCCCGACGGUUUAGAAACUCCCGUAAUUUUCGACGGUUUUGAAACCUCUGUAAUUCCUGGCGAUUUCGAAACCCUCUUAUUUUCCAACUGUUUUGAAACUCCUGUAAUUCCCAGCGGUUUCGAAGCCCUGUUAUUCUCGAUAGUUCCUGGCAAUUUUGAAACCUUCGUUACUUCUAGGAGGUGCACAUAAAAAAAUAGGUGACGAAUAAUAAAAAUGUUGAAUCAAAAUAGUCUAAUGGUCUUCUGAGAUCUUGUGUUCUUCUUCUACCACCUAACAAUAAUACACUACGGUCUUUCAACUCUUUUUAUUUACUUUCCAAUGUUUCGUAAUACUGUAUUAUAAUUUUUUCAUAAUGAAAAUAUAGACACUGAAUUAUUAAUGUAAAAAAAUUGUGUAAUAUAUGAUUAACAUGAUUUCGUAUUAAUACCAAAUAAAAUAUAAGAAAUACAUAUUACUUACUAAUUCAUUAAUCUUAUUCAUUAAGAUUCAUCUAAUAACCGGUAUUAAAAGGUGUUAGAAUAAUAAACAUAAAGGUUUAUUAUUCUUAUUAACAAAUUGUUUUGGAACAACAUCCUAAAGACAAUUUGACUUCACUUUCAUUUUUGAGGUGGAUAGUAAUUAGAUAUGAAAUUUGGAUGAAAUUUUGAUAUGCGAUCUUGGAAGAAUAGUGGUGGUUGUUAGCUACAAUUUAAGAUUAUCUUCUAAGUUAUUGAAUAAUGUUAUCUUUUAACAUUAUUUGAAUAUUGCUGUGGUGUCUUCAAUGUGUAAUAGUGUGAUUAAAAUACUAUAUAUGCAAACAAGUUUUUGUUUGCUUUAGUAAUUAAUUAUAUAGUUUCGUGAUUUUAGGGUAUUUUGUAAUAUUGAUAACUUUGUUUGAGUUUAUUAAAAAAAAUUACUCAUCUUAUAAUGUCUACGUUUUUUUUGUUAAUGAUCCGAUUUGUUUCUUAAUGUAUGUUGUUGGAUUUUAUUUUAUAAUAUUUAUACUUUGAUUAUGAAUUUCCAGGGUAGCUUAAUUAGUUACUGUUUGUAACGUAUGAGGUUUUUUUCUAGAACUUGUGUAUAUAGGGACAGAAUGAAAUAAGAUGGUGGGAUACUUAAAGGUCUUAUAAAGCUGGAUAUUUAUUCUUAAAUAAAUAGGAUAUGUUUUUGGUAGUGGAAAUAUAGUGUUCUAUUUAUGGCGAUAUUAAAGAUAUAAAAAGAUUUUACCAGCACCUUAAAACAUUUUGCAUUUUGACAAAUUUUUGGAAGAAGUUACUAUAAAAAUGUUGAAGAAUAUUUUUAAAAGUUUGGCAUAAUCGCCUUGGUCAUCCUACUAUAAUACUGUGACCACUAGAAUAAUGAAACUGUGCAAAGUUCCAUGUAUUAAAAGCUCUAUUUUUUUUUUAAGAUGAUUGUUUCUAAAUAUCAUCAAUUGCUUUUUCAUAAUUAUGAAAUUAUUUAUUUUUGUCAUUUUGAGUUUGUUUUUGUUGAUAUAUGGAGUUUUUUUUCCAUACAAUUAGUCUAAUGGAUCUCGGUAUUACUCAAUUUUUUUUAAAGUGGUUUAAAUUCAUAUCGUCUAAGUAUUAGGUUCUCUUUGUUUUUUUUGGUUUUAAACUUUUUGCUAAUAACAAACUGAUUACACUUUAAAAAGCUUACAAACAGAUUAUGUUAAAGAAUUUCUUGCUCUUGCAUCAUAACUAAAUAAUAACAGAAUACAUCAUAGGUUAAUCUGCCCUCACAUACAUUAGAAAAAUGAAAGAAAACAUAUACAUAUUAUUGAGAUAGGUUUAGCUUUGCUAUCUAGUGCCUCUCUACCCUUCAAGUUUUCGGCAGUCAAUGGCGGUGGCAGUAAAGUUCAAUGGUGCAAGGUGGUGGUCAAUGGAGAAAAGGGAAGGAAAAAAAGUUUGCAGCAAUUAAAGCUGCAAAAAAAAAAGAAUUGUAACAAUGAAGGCUGUUCAGAAAAAUAAUUGCAGCAAUGAAGGAUGUCCAGAAAAAUAACUUCAACAAUGAAGGAUGCUAAAAAAAAGAUUGCAGAAACAUAGUCUCCAAGAUCAGGAGCUCUGAUACCAAGUUGAAAGAAAUAAAUAAAAUAUAUUUUUUGAGAUAAUUUACAAAUGUGAUUACAGUCUCAAUUUAUAAAAUUACAACCUAAUUAAGGAAACAACUAUUAGGAAAUGAAAGCAAGAAAUAAUAUGUGAUUACAUCUGUACAAAUCAAAUCAAAAUAAAUCACUAACAAAAUUAUCCUAAUAAAUAGAGAAUGAAAUCUACACUUAAUUAGAGAAUAAUUCUCCUGAUUACGCAAUACAGAUGGAAACAAAAGAAAUAAAAAAUAGAAGUUACAUGAAAUGCUCACAAACAACUUGAAUGCUAUUUCCUACCUCACUAAGAAAGCAUGUACAAUUUCAAGUUCUAAGAAUGGAUGCUUAGAAGCAUUUACAUUUCACAACUCCCAUUGCUUCAAUCUCUCUAUCAGAUGUAGUUUUCCCUGGACUUGUUUAGGUAACUCAUCCUCUCAUAAUCCAACUUCAAACCCUUGUACUUGUUUUCUCUUCAUCAUAUCUUGACACAUGGGUAGAACAGACUUUGGAAAGACUUAUAAUAUCACACUCCACACAACACACUGUGACCAUAAGUAUUUCAAAAAC
rnacentral:lncRNA from 1 species